rnacentral:lncRNA from 1 species
UUUUUUUCUUUUUUUUUUGAAUUACAGGUUCGGGUUAUCGGGUCCGGAUUUUCUGGUGCAACCCGCUCCGAUACCCGUUCAUCCGCAUGUGCAACUCACGUGCGCUGCUUUUUUUUUUUUUUUCCGGAACGGAUCCGAGCUAGUGUGGCGGGCUAACGGGUCUGAGACUUACCCGUUUAGCUGGCCGUCUUCAACCUCCGACGGAUUCGUUGGGGAUGCGCCGGAUUUUGUGGCGGUGGCUGCGAGGCGGGAUGGAGAUCGCAGUGGCGACUCUGGGGUUCGCAGCGACGGGCGGCGGCCGGCUACGGAUACCCACGGGGCAGUGACCUCCUCCGAGGGUCGGACACGGCUAGCCGGUGACCAACACAAAGAGCUCGGGCACAGCGGCGCUUUCGUGGGAUUGCGACGAUCUCCAGCGAUGAACUAAAGUCACGGCGGCGAUGUUGGCGGUAGGGUGUGGCGGAGAGGAAGCAGCCGGCGAGGGUGGGCGUGGGUGUGGUGACGGGUGGUGGGGAGACCACCGAAGGGUUUCUUCUUUUCCUUCUUCUGUUUUGAAAUCGAGGGGUUGUUCUCUUUUUUUUUUUUUUUCUCCGGUGAAAACCGACAGAGGGGAAGGGGGGCUGGUGAAAACCGAGAGAGAAAGGAAAAGAGGAAACACGGGACCGUGGC